GAUGAACGCUGGCGGCGUGCCUAAUACAUGCAAGUCGAGCGAAGCGGGGACGGGUGAGUAACACGUGGAUAACCUCCUAUAAGACUGGGAUAACUUCGGGAAACCGGAGCUAUCCAGGCUCCUUAUAUAUGGAUCCGCGCUGCAUUAGCUAGUGUGUAUGGUAACGGCUUACCAAGGCAACGAUGCAUAGCCGACCUGAGAGGGUGAUCGGCCAAACGGGAACUGUGACACGGUCCAGACUCCUACGGGAGGGAGGAGGAGGGAAGCGGCCGCAAUGGGCGAAAGCCUGACGGAGCAACGCGGCGAGAGUGAGGAAGGUCUUCGGAUCGUAAAACUCUGUUAUUAUGGAAGCGGGACCUAAUCAGAAAGCCACGGCUAACUACGUGCCAGCAGCCGCGGUAAUUC
rnacentral:rRNA from 1 species